AUUGAACGCUGGCGGCAGGCCUAACACAUGCAAGUCGAACGCGUGGCGGAGGGGUGAGUUAUGUCUGGGAAACUGCCCGAGGGAGGGGGAUCACUACUGGAAACGGUAGCUAAUACCGCAAACCAUCGGAUGUGCCCAGAUGGGAUUAGCGUGUAGGGGGGGAAAGGGCUACCUUGGGCGACGAUCCCUAGCUGGUCUGAGAGGAUGACCGGCCACACUGGAACUGAGACAGGGCCCAGACUCCUACGGGAGGCAGCAGUGGGGAAUAUUGCACAAUGGGCGCAAGCCUGAUGCAGCCAGGCCGCGUGUAUGAAGAAGGCCUUCGGGUUGUAAAGUACUUUCAGCGGGGAGGCGUUACUCGCAGAAGAAGCACCGGCUAACUCCGUGCCAGCAGCCGCGGUAAUAC
rnacentral:rRNA from 1 species